GGCUCAGGAUGAACGCUAGCGGCAGGCUUAACACAUGCAAGUCGAGGGGCAUCGGGAGUAGCAAUACUGCCGGCGACCGGCGCAAGGGUGCGUAACGCGUGAGCAACAUGCCCGUAUCAGGGGGAUAAUCCAUGGAAACGUGGUCUAAUACCCCAUAGUAAUUAUGUAAGGCAUCUUAUAUAAUUUAAAGCUUUGGUGGAUACGGAUUGGCUCGCGUGACAUUAGCUAGAUGGUAAGGUAACGGCUUACCAUGGCUACGAUGUCUAGGGGUUCUGAGAGGAAGGCCCCCCACCACUGGAACUGAGACACGGUCCAGACUCCUACGGGAGGCAGCAGUGAGGAAUAUUGGACAAUGGAUGGAAAUCUGAUCCAGCCAUGCCGCGUGCAGGAAGAACCGGCCCUAUGGGUUGUAAACUGCUUUUGUAUGGGAGCAAUAAGGGCUACGCGUAGUCCGAUGAGAGUACCAUACGAAUAAGCACCGGCUAACUCCGUGCCAGCAGCUGC
rnacentral:rRNA from 1 species